CAGCAGCCACGGUAAUACGGAGGGUGCAAGCGUUAAUCGGAAUUACUGGGCGUAAAGCGUGCGCAGGCGGUUCGUUAAGACAGAUGUGAAAUCCCCGGGCUUAACCUGGGAACUGCAUUUGUGACUGGCGAGCUAGAGUAUGGCAGAGGGGGGUAGAAUUCCACGUGUAGCAGUGAAAUGCGUAGAGAUGUGGAGGAAUACCGAUGGCGAAGGCAGCCCCCUGGGCCAAUACUGACGCUCAUGCACGAAAGCGUGGGGAGCAAACAGGAUUAGAUACCCCAGUAGUCCCUGUCUCUUAUAU
rnacentral:rRNA from 1 species